GUCAUUGACAAUUAAAUGAAAAUAAUGUUGCUGUUUUUGGUUUAGUUUACAAUCACUUGGUAUCCCUGAGGAGGAGUACAACCACACUGUGAGGAUUUGUGCUUGUGUUUCCAAAACAAGUCUAAACCAAUCAAGUCCUGUUCCACAUAAAUACAUGCAUGCAUACAUAAGCAAGAGACCAUGUAAAACUUUGUACAUAAUACUAAUUUUUACACUCUGUGUUCACAGGACAGGGGCCUCUCUGAGAAGGAAAACUGAAUGACCUUCAGCACAUAAGUGAGCAGGUCACAGGGAGAGGUCAACAUUAUAGAAGUGUUUACUGAUGCCCACUCAGAUUUCUGCUCUUUUCAGAAAUGAGAUAUACAAAGACAGUGGUGUGGCGCACACAAUAUGUGGCAUGGGACUAAGAACUUGUGCAAAAAGUUACAUGCAGCUGGCCAGAAAAGGGAUGUUUCACAGUACUACAGUGAACUAAGGCAUUUGUAAUCAUUUCUGGUUCUGCUGCAUGAAAGCAACACACUGGAAAGUGAACGGUAGAAAGAGUGGACAGUGAAAGGUUCAAUGGCGCACAAUACUCUCAUUGAGGUCAUUCUGAAAGAACGUUGGUUCAAAGAAGUACCAACGUAUCUCAAGUUUAGGUAUUGUAUUUAGAUUUUAUAUAGAAGCUUCAAAAUAUGCUAACUUUUUUGUAGAUCAACUGGACGCCUGGAGGCAUUGCAGUCAUCCUAUGUACGCCAGCAAAAGAUUCAGUUAUGACCCGCCCAUUGCAGUCCUCACCAUGUACAGACCUGUAACAAGGAAUGCUGGUGGAUGUAUAAUUGUAUACAGUAUGUACACAUUCUGGAAACUAUGCAUCUUCAUUCCUUUUCUAUGACUUACUUUUUUGGCAUUAUUUUGUCUCCAUUUCAGAUACCGGAAAGUAUUCAAUAAAAAAUCCAGGUGCUGCAGGAUUUAUACAGUGAAAGGUUGAGAAGGACUAUUCAUAUAUUCCGGAACUCCAGACAAUAAUUGUUGCUGCACGGUUGAACAGCAAAAAGGACUCCCACGCCCUGCAAAAUUGAGAUCCGCAGACAACUGGGUUUGCUCUCAGCUGUCCCUGACCCAACAACAUUGGAGUUAGUCCAACACCAGCACACCCGAGGAGAUCGUAUGGACUAAUUUAUUCUUCUCACAAUAUUCAAUAUAGAAAUUGCAUACAUCUAUAUAUCCAUAACAUAUUCUUUAUCCUUGUUUUUUUUUUUACAGGUCAACAAUUGCC
rnacentral:lncRNA from 1 species